CUCACAAAAAUCAAAAAGAAUACAGGAAGACGGUAAAUUAUUAAUUUUUUGGCUUUUUCAGAGUUUAUCAAAAGCAAUAGCAUUAACAUUGUUUGAAUUUGCCUAAAUAAACAAUGGAGACUACAUUAACCUAAGAAACAGUUUACUAAUAAACGUUCUAUCAACUGAGUAAUGAGGUCAUUUACCCUUUACAUGUCUGUAAAGAGGUUUAUAUAAAUAUAAACUACCACAAUAAUCU